CCUACGGGAGGCAGCAGUGGGGAAUUUUGCUCAAUGCUCGUAAGAGUGACCCAGCGACGUCGCGUGAAUGACGAAGGCCCUCGGGUCGUUAAGUUCCUUCGACUGGGAAGAAAAUGCCUAUAAGUAACUGUGUAUGUAUUGACGGUACCUGUAUAAGCAGCCCCGGCUAACUCCGUGCCAGCAGCCGCGGUAAUACGGGGGGGGGGAGCGUUGUUCGGAGUUACUGGGCGUAAAGAGCACGUAGGCGGGGUUGUAAGUCAUUAGUCAAAGACUAGAGCUCAACUUUAGUAAGGCUAGUGAUACUAUAAUACUAGAGUAUCAGAGAGGAUUGCAGAAUUCCUGGUGUAGCGGUGAAAUGCGUAGAUAUCAGGAGGAAUACCGUUAGCGAAGGCGGCAAUCUGGCUGGAAACUGACGCUGAGGUGCGAAAGCGUGGGUAGCAAACAGGAUUAGAUACCCCUGUAGUC
rnacentral:rRNA from 1 species